UACGGAAGGCAGCAGUGGGGAAUAUUGCACAAUGGGCGCAAGCCUGAUGCAGCCAUGCCGCGUGUAUGAAGAAGGCCUUCGGGUUGUAAAGUACUUUCAGCGGGGAGGAAGGCGAUGUGGUUAAUAACCGCGUCGAUUGACGUUACCCGCAGAAGAAGCACCGGCUAACUCCGUGCCAGCAGCCGCGGUAAUACGGAGGGUGCAAGCGUUAAUCGGAAUUACUGGGCGUAAAGCGCACGCAGGCGGUCUGUUAAGUCAGAUGUGAAAUCCCCGGGCUUAACCUGGGAACUGCAUUUUGAACUGGCAGGCUUGAGUCUCGUAGAGGGGGUAGAAUUCCAGGUGUAGCGGUGAAAUGCGUAGAGAUCUGGAGGAAUACCGGUGGCGAAGGCGGCCCCUGGGACGAAGACUGACGCUCAGGGUGCGAAAGCGUGGGGAGCAAACAGGAUUAGGAUACC
rnacentral:rRNA from 1 species